rnacentral:rRNA from 1 species
GACAGAGGUGCCGAGCGUUAGGCGGAAUCACUGGGCUUAAAGCGUGUGUAGGCGGACUUCUAAGUACCUUGUGAAAUCCCACGGCUCAACCGUGGAACUGCUCGGUAUACUGGUUGUCUUGAGCCACUUAGGGGCAGUCGGAACAGACGGUGGAGCGGUGAAAUGCGCAGAUAUCAGGAGGAACACCGGUGGCGAAGGCGGAUCUCUGGGCCUUGCCUGACGCUGAGGCGCGAAAGCGUGGGUAGCAAACAGG